rnacentral:tRNA from 3 species
GCGGGCGUAAUUCAGGGGCAGAAUGCAGGCUUCCCAAGCCUGACGUCGGGGGUUCGAAUCCCCUCGCCCGCU